CAAGGCGACAACUAUCCACCAAAACUCUAAUGAGGGGUAUGUAAGCAAUUAUAGGCAACCAUACAAUCUUUAAUAAUGAGAAAAUCCCAUACCGUAUGGUCGGAUUUAAAAGGCCCUACAUGAGUAAUAUUUAACAAUUCAAUUGAGAAAAAUAACGAUCCAAUUAACAACAAAACAGUUUAAGACAAAGAAAUAUGAUAGACAUGAACCAACGACAACCACUGAACUAAAGGCCCCUGGCUUUAGAUAGACACACGAAGAAUGAAUGUGUGUGUGGGGGAUUAAACAUGUUUUUGAG
rnacentral:lncRNA from 1 species